GACGAACGCUGGCGGCGUGCUUAACACAUGCAAGUCGAACGAUGAAGCCCAGCUUGCUGGGUGGAUUAGUGGCGAACGGGUGAGUAACACGUGAGUAACCUGCCCCUGACUCUGGGAUAAGCGUUGGAAACGACGUCUAAUACUGGAUAUGACUACUGGUCGCAUGGUCUGGUGGUGGAAAGAUUUUUUGGUUGGGGAUGGACUCGCGGCCUAUCAGCUUGUUGGUGAGGUAAUGGCUCACCAAGGCGACGACGGGUAGCCGGCCUGAGAGGGUGACCGGCCACACUGGGACUGAGACACGGCCCAGACUCCUACGGGAGGCAGCAGUGGGGAAUAUUGCACAAUGGGCGAAAGCCUGAUGCAGCAACGCCGCGUGAGGGAUGACGGCCUUCGGGUUGUAAACCUCUUUUAGUAGGGAAGAAGCGAAAGUGACGGUACCUGCAGAAAAAGCACCGGCUAACUACGUGCCAGCAGCCGCGGUAAUACGUAGGGUGCAAGCGUUGUCCGGGAAUUAUUGGGCGUAAAGAGCUCGUAGGCGGUUUGUCGCGUCUGCUGUGAAAUCCCGAGGCUCAACCUCGGGCUUGCAGUGGGUACGGGCAGACUAGAGUGCGGUAGGGGAGAUUGGAAUUCCUGGUGUAGCGGUGGAAUGCGCAGAUAUCAGGAGGAACACCGAUGGCGAAGGCAGAUCUCUGGGCCGUAACUGACGCUGAGGAGCGAAAGCGUGGGGAGCGAACAGGAUUAGAUACCCUGGUAGUCCACGCCGUAAACGUUGGGCGCUAGAUGUAGGGACCUUUCCACGGUUUCUGUGUCGUAGCUAACGCAUUAAGCGCCCCGCCUGGGGAGUACGGCCGCAAGGCUAAAACUCAAAGGAAUUGACGGGGGCCCGCACAAGCGGCGGAGCAUGCGGAUUAAUUCGAUGCAACGCGAAGAACCUUACCAAGGCUUGACAUACACCGGAAACGGCCAGAGAUGGUCGCCCCCUUGUGGUCGGUGUACAGGUGGUGCAUGGUUGUCGUCAGCUCGUGUCGUGAGAUGUUGGGUUAAGUCCCGCAACGAGCGCAACCCUCGUUCUAUGUUGCCAGCGCGUUAUGGCGGGGACUCAUAGGAGACUGCCGGGGUCAACUCGGAGGAAGGUGGGGAUGACGUCAAAUCAUCAUGCCCCUUAUGUCUUGGGCUUCACGCAUGCUACAAUGGCCGGUACAAAGGGCUGCGAUACCGUAAGGUGGAGCGAAUCCCAAAAAGCCGGUCUCAGUUCGGAUUGAGGUCUGCAACUCGACCUCAUGAAGUCGGAGUCGCUAGUAAUCGCAGAUCAGCAACGCUGCGGUGAAUACGUUCCCGGGCCUUGUACACACCGCCCGUCAAGUCAUGAAAGUCGGUAACACCCGAAGCCGGUGGCCUAACCCUUGUGGAAGGAGCCGUCGAAGGUGGGAUCGGUGAUUAGG
rnacentral:rRNA from 1 species